rnacentral:rRNA from 2 species
ACCUGACUGCUAUCGGAUUGAUACUAAGCCAUGCGAGUCAUUGUAGCAAUACAAGGCAGACGGCUCAGUAACACGUAGUCAAUCUAACCUAUGGACGGGGAUAACCUCGGGAAACUGAGAAUAAUAUCCGAUAGGCCACUAUGCUUGGAAUGGUUUGUGGCCCAAAUGAUUUAUCGCCGUAGGAUGGGACUGCGGUCUAUCAGCUUGUUGGUGAGGUAAUGGCCCACCAAGGCUAUAACAGAUACGGGCUCUGAGAGGAGAGGCCCGGAGAUGGGUACUGAGACACGGACCCAGGCCCUAUGGGGCGCAGCAGGCGAGAAAACUUUGCAAUGUGCGAAAGCACGACAAGGUUAAUCCGAGUGUUUUCUGCUAAAGAAAUCUUUUACCGGUCUUAAAACCACCGGCGAAUAAGGGGUGGGCAAGUUCUGGUGUCAGCCGCCGCGGUAAAACCAGCACCUCAAGUGGUCAGGAGGAUUAUUGGGCCUAAAGCAUCCGUAGCCUGCCGUGUAAGUUUUCGGUUAAAUCUAUGCGCUCAACGCAUAGGCUGCCGGAAAUACUGCACGGCUAGGGAGUGGGAGAGGUAGACGGUACUCGGUAGGAAGGGGUAAAAUCCUCUGAUCUAUCGAUGACCCCCUGUGGCGAAGGCGGUCUACUAGAACACGUCCGACGGUGAGGGAUGAAAGCUGGGGGAGCAAACCGGAUUAGAUACCCGGGUAGUCCCAGCUGUAAACAAUGCAAACUCAGUGAUGCAUUGGCGUAAGAGCCAGUGCAGUGCCGCAGGGAAGCCGUUAAGUUUGCCGCCUGGGAAGUACGUACGCAAGUAUGAAACUUAAAGGAAUUGGCGGGGGAGCACCACAAGGGGUGAAGCCUGCGGUUC